rnacentral:lncRNA from 1 species
AUGCGGUCCGGCCACUGUCCCCCACCCCUCGCGUCCGGCCGCGCCGUGGGUUGCGGUCUCCGUGGGGGCGGCAGCUCCUGUACUGGAGGUUUGCGCCUGGCGGGGCACCCCGGAGCCGCGGGGAGCCCAGAGGCGAGGCCAAGGCCGGGUGGGGCGCGUCCGGGCGGGGAGAGCACACUCAGGCAGUGCGGGGGGCGCAGAGGGCAGGGGCGGGCAGACGCACGACGGAGGAGCGAGCGGAACGAGGGCUGGCUAGUGCCGGGGCCGCCCGCCCGAGGGGGAGGAGGCUGCGCUGCCCUUGCCGCAGGUUUGCUGUCGAGCGCGCAGGAGGCAGGGACAUGGGUAGGGUGCGGUCUGCGCGGGGCCCGAGCCCGGAUCUCUUCCAUUUCCCCUCUCACUCGGCCCCGGGCUGCGCCGCAGACGGCAGCAGCUCCCGCUCCGCCCCAGCCGCCUGACCGCGGGGCCGGGGUGCUAACCGCGGGGCCCGCCAGCCGGCCGGCCCGGCCAGCCCAGCCCAGCCCGGCGGCCCGCAGCCCCGCCGCCCGCCGCCCCGCCGCCGCCGCGUUGCCAAAACAAACGGGCCGGCCUAUUUAUUGGCGGCCGGCGAGCCGGGCAGCUCAGAGUCGAGGCGCCGAGGGGACAGCGCGUCGCCACCAGCCAGGGCCACGGGCCCCCGCCCCGCACCUGAGUCCCGCCGGCCGUGCGCCGCGCCGCGCAGCCCAUGGCGCCCCCACCUGGAGCCCCCAGGAGCCACCCGGACGCCUGAGCCCCCGCAGCGCUCCGGUCUACUCGUCCACCCAUCAGCCCACCAGGCGUCCUCGCCCGCCGCUCCUCGGGGCUCCCCGGCCAUGUCUCCCGCCCGGCUCCGGCCCCGCCUGCGGUUCUGCCUGCUCCUGCUGCUGCUGCUGCUGCUGGUGCCGGCGGCGCGGGGCUGCGGGCCGGGCCGGGUGGCGGGCAGACGCACGACGGAGGAGCGAGCGGAACGAGGGCUGGCUAGUGCCGGGGCCGCCCGCCCGAGGGGGAGGAGGCUGCGCUGCCCUUGCCGCAGGUUUGCUGUCGAGCGCGCAGGAGGCAGGGACAUGGGUAGGGUGCGGUCUGCGCGGGGCCCGAGCCCGGAUCUCUUCCAUUUCCUCUCACUCGGCCCAGGCUGCGCCGCAGACGGCAGCAGCUCCUGCCCGCCCCAGCCGCCUGACCGCGGGGCCGGGUGCUAACCGCGGGCCCGCCAGCCGGCCGGCCCGGCCAGCCCAGCCCAGCCCGGCGGCCCGCAGCCCCGCCGCCCGCCGCCCCCCGCCGCCGCCGCGUUGCCAAAACAAACGGGCCGGCCUAUUUAUUGGCGGCCGGCGAGCCGGGCAGCUCAGAGUCGAGGCGCCGAGGGGGACAGCGCGUCGCCACCAGCCAGGGCCACGGGCCCCCGCCCCGCACCUGAGUCCCGCCGGCCGUGCGCCGCGCCGCGCAGCCCAUGGCGCCCCCACCUGGAGCCCCAGGAGCCACCCGGACGCCUGA